UACAGGAGGGUGCGAGCGUUAAUCGGAAUUACUGGGCGUAAAGCGCGCGUAGGCGGCUUUGCAAGUCGAGUGUGAAAUCCCCCAGGCUUAACCUGGGAACUGCAUUCGAGACUGCAUAGCUAGAGUAUGGGAGAGGGAAGUGGAAUUUCAGGUGUAGCGGUGAAAUGCGUAGAUAUCUGAAGGAACAUCAGUGGCGAAAGCGACUUCCUGGACCAAUACUGACGCUCAUGUGCGAAAGCGUGGGGAGCAAACAGG
rnacentral:rRNA from 1 species